GCAAGUCGAGCGAGAUUGCUUUGAAAGAACCUUCGGGGGAUGGAUAAGUAUGAAAGCGGCGGACGGGUGAGUAACGCGUGGGUAACCUGCCUUGUACUGAGGGAUAGCCACUGGAAACGGUGAUUAAUACCUUAUAAUACCACUGUAUCGUGUGAUACUAUGGUCAAAGCUGGCGGUACAAGAUGGACCCGCGUCUGAUUAGCUAGUUGGUAGGGUAAUGGCCUACCAAGGCGACGAUCAGUAGCCGACCUGAGAGGGUGAUC
rnacentral:rRNA from 1 species